CACGUAGGGCGCGAGCGUUGUCCGGAAUUAUUGGGCGUAAAGAGCUCGUAGGCGGGUUUGUAAGUAGAGGGUGAAAUCCCAGGGCUCAACUCUGGAACUGCCUUCUAGACUGCAAGCCUGGAGGUCAGGAGAGGCGAGUGGAAUACCGAGUGUAGAGGUGAAAUUCGUAGAUAUUCGGUGGAACACCAGUGGCGAAGGCGACUCGCUGGACUGAUACUGACGCUGAGGUGCGAAAGCGUGGGGAGCAAACAGG
rnacentral:rRNA from 1 species